GCGCGAGCGGGCCGGCGACCCGUCCGUGGCAGGGACGGCCCCGGACGCUUCGUAGACUGGGACGAUCAUGACGUCCCUCGCGCCC
rnacentral:tRNA from 1 species